CACCCCACUGGCCACCGGCCAGUCCUGCACUUCCAGGGCCACCACCGCCUCCCAGCCCAUCUUCCACAGCUCAUGCUCCAUGUCCAGCAGGGAUUGGGAUGGGGACAGGGAAGGUGGCAUCAAGGUGGGCAUUGUCCUCUGUGUCCCCCUGCCACCCCGCUGGCCACCAGCCAACCCCACACUUCCAGGGGCACCUCCGUGUCCCAGCCCACCUCCCGCAACUCGUCCUCCAUGUCCAGCAUCUCCCUGUGGGAUGGGGAUGGGGAUGACGAAGGUGGCAUCAAGAUGGGCAUCAUCCCCGGUUGUCCCCCUGCCACCCCACCAGCCAGUCCUGCACUUCCAGGGGCACCCCCACACCCCAUCUCCUGCAGCUCGUCCUCCAUGUCCAGCAGGGGAUUAGGAUGGGGACAAGGAGGGGAUGGCAUCAAGGUGGGCAUCGUCCCCCGUGUCUCCCUGCCACCCCACUGGCCACCAGCCAGUCCCACGCUUCCAGGGGCACCCCCCCCGUCCCAGCCCAUCUCCCUCAACUCAUCCUCCAUGUCCAGCAGGGAUGGGGACAGGGAAGGUGGCAUCAAGGUGGGCAUGGUUCCCCAUGUCCCCCUGCCACCCUGGCUGCCCGCACCUCGUCUCAUCGAUGUAGACGGCCUCCAGCAGCGACGCGGCGUAUUCCAGGUUCCUCUUCAGCUCCUCCACGUUCACCUCGCCCGUCUCCAGCUGCUUCACCAUGUACCGCAGCCUGCGGGCACCGCGGCACCGUCACCGACCCCCCCCUGGCACCGGGGCGGGGGACACAAGGUGGUGGUGGAUGCGCCCACAGACACAUCCCAACACGCAUGGGCAGCACCCGUGGGUGCGUGUGGCCUGGGGCAGGGAGGGGUGGUGGGUGCCUGCCCUGGGGACCCCCCCGGAGCGAUGGUGGCAGCCGGGGGUGGGGGGCAAAGGGGGAGCGUGGGCAGGGCACGGGUGGAGGGAGUGGGGGUACCCAGCACCCUGUGUCCAGAGAGCACCCCGCACCCACAAUGCAUCCCGCACCCAGCACCCUGUGUUCACAGCGCACCCUGCACCCGUAGCCGGCAUCCAGAGCUCAUCCUGCACCCAGCACCCUGCACCCCAUGUCCAGAGGGCACCCUGCACCCCGUACCCAGCACCCAGAGCUCACCCUGCACCCAGCACCCUGCACCCCACGUCCAGAGGGCAUCCAGCACCUGGUACCCAGCACCCUGCACCCACAGUGCAUCCCGCACCCAGCACCCUGUGUUCACAGCGCACCCUGCACCCCAUACCUGUCACCCAGAGCUCACCCAGCACCCCAUGUCCAGAGGACACCCUGCACCCCGUACUCAGCACCCACAGUGCAUCCCCCACCCCAUAGCUCGAGCGCACUGGGGUGCACCCAGCACCCACAGUGCGUCCCACACCCAGCACCCUGUGUUCACAGCGCACCCUGCACCCCAUACCUGGCACCCAGAGCUCAUCCUGCACCCAGCACCCUGCACCCCAUGUCCAGAGCACGUCCUGCACCCCAUGCACAGCACCCAGAGCUCAGCCUGCACCCAGCACCCCAUGUCCAGAGCCCACCCUGGCCCCCGCACCCUGCACCCACAGUGCGUCCCACACCCAGCACCCUGUGUUCACAAGUGCACCCUGCACCCCGUACCCAGCACCCACAGUGCAUCCUGCACCCAGUACCCAGCGCCCAGAGCACAUCCCACACCUGAUAUCCAGCACCCAGCACCCAGAGCUCAUCCUGCACCCAGCACCCUGUGUUCACAGCGCACCCUGCACCCCAUACCUGGCACCCAGAGCUCAUCCUGCACCCAGCACCCUGCACCCCAUGUCCAGAGCACAUCCAGCACCCCAUACCUGGCACCCAGCACCCACAGUGCAUCCUGCCCCGUUUUCCAGAGCUCAUCCUGCAGCCGGUACCUGCACCCUGUGUUCACAGCGCACCCUGCACCCGUAGCCGGCACCCAGAGCUCAGCCUGCACCCAGCACCCCAUGUCCAGAGUGCACCCUGUACCCCAUAGCCGGCACCCGGCACCAAGAGCUCAGCCUGGACCCAGCACCCUGUGUCCAGAACCCACCCCGGACCCUGCACCCAGCACCCACAGUGCAUCCCUCACCCAGCACCCUGUGUUCACAGCGCACCCUGCACCCCGUACCCGGCACCCAGAGCUCACCCUGCACCCAGCACCCUGCACCGGGUGUCCAGAGCACGUCCCGCACCCCAUACACAGCACCCAGAGCUCAUCCUGGACCCAGACCCUGCACCCCAUCUCCAGAGCACACCCAGCACCCCGUACCUGGCACCCAGCACCCACAGUGCAUCCCACACCCUGCGCCCAGAGCUCAUCCUGCAUCUGGUACCCAGCACCCUGCACCCAGAGCUCAUCCUGGACCUGGCACCCCAUGUCCAGAGCACAUCCUGCACCCCAUACUCAGCACCCAGAGCUCAUCCUGGACUCAGCACCCUGCACCCCGUGUCCAGAGCACGUCCUGCACUCAGUACCUGGCACCCAAAGUGCAUCCUGGACCCAGACCCUGCACCCCAUCUCCAGAGUGCACCCAGCACCCCGUACCCAGCACCCACAGUGCAUCCUGCACCCAGCACCCAGAGCACAUCCUGCAUCUGGUACCCAGCACCCUGCACCCAGAGCUCAUCCUGGACCCAGCACCCUGCACCCCAUGUCCAGAGCACGUCCUGCACCCCAUACACAGCACCCAGAGCUCACCCUGCCCCCAGUACCCAGCACCUUGCUCCCAGAGCUCACCCUGCACCCAACCCCCUUCAUCCUGCACCUACGCAGCACCCAGAGCUCAUCCUGUACUCCC
rnacentral:lncRNA from 1 species